AUACUUUCCUGGUAGGAGAAAAACCAUGACCACUAAGGUGGUUUUCUUACUUGCAGGGGUAGUACCCUGACCAAGGUAAUGCAUACUUACCCUCCCACUUUCACUUCCUUCCAGUAGGAAGAUCCCCGCAUUAUGCUGACUUCAUGGAAAUGGGAGACUCCUCCCU
rnacentral:snRNA from 1 species